rnacentral:rRNA from 1 species
CCCUUAGAUGUUCUGGGCCGCACGCGCGCUACACUGAUGCAUUCAACGAGUCUAAAACCUGCUCUGAUAGGGGUGGGUAAUCUUUUGAAUGUGCAUCGUGAUUGGGAUAGAUGAUUGCAAUUUUUCAUCUUCAACGAGGAAUGCCUAGUAAACGCAAGUCAUCAGCUUGCAUUGAUUACGUCCCUGCCCUUUGUACACACCGCCCGUCGCUCCUACCGAUUGAAUGAUCCGAUGAAUAUCAUGGAUUGAGGAUGCAAGUAGGUUCGCCUAUCUUCAUCUUCGAGAAGUGAAGUAAAUCUUACCAUUUAGAGGAAGGAGAAGUCGUAACA